UACGAAGGGGGCUAGCGUUGCUCGGAAUCACUGGGCGUAAAGGGUGCGUAGGCGGGUCUUUUAAGUCAGGGGUGAAAUCCUGGAGCUCAACUCCAGAACUGCCUUUGAUACUGAAGAUCUUGAGUUCGGGAGAGGUGAGUGGAACUGCGAGUGUAGAGGUGAAAUUCGUAGAUAUUCGCAAGAACACCCGCGGCGAAGGCGACUUUCUGGCCUGUUCUUGACGCUGAGGCGCGAAAGCUAGGGGAGCAAACGGGG
rnacentral:rRNA from 1 species